UUCCUUUUUCUCCCUAAUACUCACUUCCCAAGGUGUGUAAUUAAAUUUUGUAUUCUACUUUAUUUGUCCUAUUAUACUCUCAGAUUUCAACUCCUGGUCUACUCUUCAUGGAAUUUCUCUUGUCUUCUCACUUUUAAAGAACUCUUAGUUUCCUAUUUCAAGGAGUCCUAUUUAGAGGGUUAAUUAGAGGUGAUCCAGCAGAGUUUUCUAAUUUUACAAUAUUUUAACCAUAAAUGGAAGCACUAACUGUCUCUUCACUAGAAUUAAUUUUCUUUUUUUUUUCAGGUCACAACUAGGAUCUAUUUCCUGCCUUUUCUUACGGAAAUAUUGAUUAACCGUCCUAUCAACAUCUCAGAAGAAGGCAAAAGCUGGAAGUCCAAAAUCCAAGUGCCACCAAGCUCAGUGUCUGGGGAGGGCCUGGUCUCUGCUUGCAAGGUGAGGACUUCGUGUGUUCUCCGGAGAAGAUGAACGCUUUCAUCUCGCCCAGCAGAAGAGCUAGAAGAACAAAUAGGGCAUAGCUACUUCCCUCAAGCCCUUUUUUAUAAGGGUACUAAUUCAUUCAUGAGGAGUAAAACCCUCCUGAUUUAAUCAUUCUAAAGGCCCCAUCUUUUAAUACUGUAACUUGAGUCUCAAAAUAUGAAUUUUGAGGGACACAUACAUUCUAGCCAUGGCACUUUCGAAUACUCCAGCAUGCAUCUCCAAAAAAUACAUUUUUCUAGAAAACCAAAAUGCCAUUAUCAAAUUUAGAAAAACUAACAGUGACUCCUUAAUGUCCUCUAUUAUCCAAACCCAUUUAGCCUACAUAUGUCACCCUAAACUUGGAUAAGUUCACACACUGCAUUAGAUUGUCUUGUUCCUUAAAUGUCUUUAAAUUUCUCCUGCACAACCAUCUUUUUAUUUUUCUCAUAAUAUUGUCCUUUGGACAGCCUAAAACUUUUUGUUUUGUGUAAUGUACUAUGUUUGGGUUUUAUCUGAUUACUUUCUCAUCGUGCUGUUUAAUUUGUUUCUUUAUCCCCUAUAUAUCUUGUUAACCAGAAGUUAAGUCUGAGUGCUUAAUUAGAUUCAAAUUAAACAUCAUUGUGUAUACAUUAUAUUGCAUUGCUUUAUGAGCUGCAUAAUUUCAAGUUGUCCCACUAUUAGUUAUGCUAACUUUGAACUUUUGG
rnacentral:lncRNA from 10 species